rnacentral:rRNA from 1 species
UACAGAGGUCUCAAGCGUUGUUCGGAUUCAUUGGGCGUAAAGGGUGCGUAGGCGGCGCGGUAAGUCGGGUGUGAAAUCUCGGGGCUUAACUCCGAAACUGCAUUCGAUACUGCCGUGCUUGAGGACUGGAGAGGAGACUGGAAUUUACGGUGUAGCGGUGAAAUGUGUAGAGAUCGGGAGGAACACCGGUGGCGAAGGCGGCCUUCUGGACGGUGACUGACGCUGAGGCGCGAAAGCGUGGGGAGCAAACGGG